rnacentral:rRNA from 1 species
CGCGAAUGGCUCAUUAAAUCAGUUAUGGUUCCUUAGAGCUCCUGAUCCUACAUGGAUAACUGUAGUAAUUCUAGAGCUAAUACAUGCAACUAAGCUCCGACCUUCGGGGACGAGCGCACUUAUUAGACCAUGAUCAACCGGGGGCAACCCCGAACGACUGGUGACUCUGGAUAAACUACCGCGGAUCGCAUGGCCUCGAGCUGGCGAUUCAUCUUACAACUGUCUGACCUAUCAACUAGAAGGUAGAGUAUAUGUCUACCUUGGUGAUGACGGGUAACGGGGAAUCAGGGUUCGAUUCCGGAGAGGGAGCAUGAGAAACGGCUACCACAUCCAAGGAAGGCAGCAGGCACGCAAAUUACCCACUCCUGGCAAGGGGAGGUAGUGACGAAAAAUAACAAUACGGGACUCUUUCGAGGCCCCGUAAUUGGAAUGAGUACGAUGUAAAAUCCCUAACGAGGAACUAAUGGAGGGCAAGUCUGGUGCCAGCAGCCGCGGUAAUUCCAGCUCCAUUAGCGUAUAUUAAAGCUGUUGCAGUUAAAAAGCUCGUAGUUGGAUCUGGGGAGCAGGCUGGCGGGACCGCUUCACUGCGGAACUGCCUGUCCUGCCCUUUGCGCCGGGCUUCACAACAUGCGGGUUGCUCUUCGAUGAGUGUCUCCGCGUGGCCCGGUACUCUUACUUUGAAAAAAUUAGAGUGCUCUAAGCAGGCGGACACGCCUGAAUAAUGUUGCAUGGAAUAAUGGAACAGGACCUCGGUUCUGUGAAGUUGGUCGUCAGAACUGAAGUAAUGAUCAAUAGGGGCUGACGGGGGCAUCCGUAUUACGGGGCGAGAGGUGAAAUUCUAUGACCCUCGUAAGACGCCCAAAAGCGAAAGCAUUUGCCAAGAAUGCCUUCAUUAAUCAAGAACGAAAGUCAGAGGAUCGAAGACGAUCAAAUACCGUCGUAGUUCUGACCGUAAACGCUGGCGUCUGGUGAUUGUCAGGCGUGGGUCUAACGACCCUGACAGCAACCCCUCGGGAA